rnacentral:misc_RNA from 1 species
GAUGAAGAACGUAGCGAAAUGCGAUAAGUAGUGUGAAUUGCAGAAUUCCGUGAAUCAUCGAAUCUUUGAACGCACAUUGCGCCUUCUGGUAUUCCGGAAGGCAUGCCUGUUCGAGAGUCAUUAACAACCGUUUCGAUCCCUUUCUUUCAGAAAUUACAAAGAGGAAAAGGGUUUGGUUAUGGUGGAGGAGGGAAGGGGAGCGUUUAGCCUGUAAAAAAAGAGGCUGUGUUCCGCCUCCCCCCCAAAAUUGUACAGGCGGUCGUGUGCGCCCACGCAUCGAGGUGUUGUAAAAGCUGCCACGGCACUUUUCACCUGUGCAGUGCGAGAUUGGCCAGCCGGUUUAAAAACCCCUCCAAACAAUCAAAGGUUGACCUCGGAUCAGGUAGGGAUACCCGCUGAACUUAAGCAUAUCAAUAAGCGGAGGA